GGCCAUGCUGCGCUGUGGAGGAUGUGAUUCCCAGGCUCCCGUGGGCCCUCUUGUUAGCAAGGUAUUUUCAGUGUUUUGCAUGAUUUUUCUCCCUCCACUGAAAAAUGCCUGAAACUACAGGAGAGCUGUCUCAUGGCCCAUUAGCAUUCUGUUUACUGCAUGAAGCUGAGGAUAUGUGUUAAAUGUGUCGAGGAGUGCCAUGCAGGACUGGUGGAGGUGAUUGAGAGCUCCAAGUAGGCUGGGAUGGCAUUGGAAGACUAUGUACAGCAGAGGGAGCAAAACCUGCUCCUGUCUCAUCCCUGCUUCAUUUUGAGAGUGAUCCCGAGACCAACCACGGUCAAAUCUUGGAAAGAAAUGGUGCUGUCUCCAGCUGGACCACUGGGGAAGUCCAGGCCAGAGGUGGAGGGCAAGCGUGCGGAUGGACACGGGCACAGUACUUGAACUUGCUUCCCGCCCCUCUUUUAUUCAGCCAUGGUAACCCUCAGGGUUCGGCUCUAGCCAUGAGUAGAAAAUCCAAUAUUUUCUUGAAACGUGUUUCUGGUCAUUAUAAUUCUGUACCACUCUCUUCUUUAUGAUGGAGAACAUGAUCUGCUUUCCAAGACUACUAACGCUUCUGAGCCCAGCCUGCCUCCUUGCCCUCCAUCAGAGCAGCAGCCAUGGAGCCCUGUCUCAGAGCCACAGAGAAGUGCCGGAGAAAAGCAGCGAACAAAACCAGAGGAGCAGGCUGCUAUAGGAGCCAGCUUCACUUCUUGCCAUUGCAUUGUGCUGCAGCAUAGCUCCAGAGCACUUAUCAGAUACUGAACUGUGAGUUCACCUGCUGACCACUAUCUGUGAUGAGAAGACCCCCAGAUUCUAUCAGACUCUCAGCCACUGCUCUGGCUGCAGGAGCUCUACAGCAGCCUAGCAAAUAUGACCAAAAUCUGGCAGACAGGACAAGGUGAAAGACCCUCUGGAUCCUAAGUUCUGAUGGUUUUAAUUGAUGUCCAAGGAGAAAGCUGGAAAUGAUUUAGAGAUGAAGAAGAAAGGAAUGGCACUGCCAUUUAG